UGGGGAAUAUUGCACAAUGGGCGCAAGCCUGAUGCAGCCAUGCCGCGUGUAUGAAGAAGGCCUUCGGGUUGUAAAGUACUUUCAGCGGGGAGGAAGGGAGUAAAGUUAAUACCUUUGCUCAUUGACGUUACCCGCAGAAGAAGCACCGGCUAACUCCGUGUCAGCAGCCGCGGUAAUACGGAGGGUGCAAGCGUUAAUCGGAAUUACUGGGCGUAAAGCGCACGCAGGCGGUUUGUUAAGUCAGAUGUGAAAUCCCCGGGCUCAACCUGGGAGCUGCAUCUGAUACUUGCAAGCUUGAGUCUCGUAGAGGGGGGUAGAAUUCCAGGUGUCGCGGUGAAAUGCGUAGAGGUCUGGAGGAAUACCGGUGGCGAAGGCGGCCCCCUGGACGAAGACUAACGCUCAAAUGCGAAAGCAUGGGGAUCAAACAGG
rnacentral:rRNA from 1 species